rnacentral:rRNA from 1 species
UUUUAUGGAGAGUUUGAUCCUGGCUCAGGAUGAACGCUGGCGGCGUGCCUAAUACAUGCAAGUCGAGCGAACGGACGAGAAGCUUGCUUCUCUGAUGUUAGCGGCGGACGGGUGAGUAACACGUGGAUAACCUACCUAUAAGACUGGGAUAACUUCGGGAAACCGGAGCUAAUACCGGAUAAUAUUUUGAACCGCAUGGUUCAAAAGUGAAAGACGGUCUUGCUGUCACUUAUAGAUGGAUCCGCGCUGCAUUAGCUAGUUGGUAAGGUAACGGCUUACCAAGGCAACGAUGCAUAGCCGACCUGAGAGGGUGAUCGGCCACACUGGAACUGAGACACGGUCCAGACUCCUACGGGAGGCAGCAGUAGGGAAUCUUCCGCAAUGGGCGAAAGCCUGACGGAGCAACGCCGCGUGAGUGAUGAAGGUCUUCGGAUCGUAAAACUCUGUUAUUAGGGAAGAACAUAUGUGUAAGUAACUGUGCACAUCUUGACGGUACCUAAUCAGAAAGCCACGGCUAACUACGUGCCAGCAGCCGCGGUAAUACGUAGGUGGCAAGCGU